GACCUUGUGGUGGCUUAGUGGUUAUCGCAUCGACAACCAUUUGCCCUGCUUUCAUUAAAUUGCACUCUGUCGAGGUCGUAGGUUCAAAUCCUACCAAAGGCU